rnacentral:rRNA from 1 species
GUUUAUCAAAAACAUGUCUUUUAGAAUUUAAUUUAAAGUCUAACCUGCCCACUGAAUUUUAAAUGGCCGCAGUAUUUUAACUGUGCAAAGGUAGCAUAAUCAUUAGUCUUUUAAUUGAAGGCUGGAAUGAAUGGUUGGAUGAGAUAUUAACUGUUUCAUAAAAAUUUUUAAUAGAAUUUUAUUUUUUAGUUAAAAAGCUAAAAUUUCAUUAAAAGACGAGAAGACCCUAUAAAUCUUUAUAUUUUAUUGGGGUGAUAUUAAAAUUUAAUUAACUUUUAAUUUAUUUUUUACAUAAAUUAAUGAAUUAUUGAUCCGUUAUUUACGAUUAAAAAUUUAAGUUACUUUAGGGAUAACAGCGUAAUUUUUUUAGAGAGUUCAUAUUGAUAAAAAAGAUUGCGACCUCGAU